rnacentral:rRNA from 1 species
AGCAGCCGCGGUAAUUCCAGCUCCAAUAGCGUAUAUUAAAGUUGUUGCAGUUAAAAAGCUCGUAGUUGAAUUUCGGGGUUAGUAAGCUGGUCGUGCCACUGGUAUGUACUGGUUUCACUGGUCUCUCCUUCUUGUAGAACCGUAAUGCCAUUAAUUUGGUGUUGCGGGGAAACAGGACUAGUUACUUUGAAAAAUUAGAGUGUUUAAAGCAGGCUAACGCUUGAAUACAUUAGCAUGGAAUAAUGAAAUAGGACGUUCGAUCCUAUUUUGUUGGUUUCUAGGAUUGACGUAAUGAUUAAUAGGGAUAGUUGGGGGCAUUAGUAUUCAAUUGUCAGAGGUGAAAUUCUUGGAUUUAUUGAAGACUAACUACUGCGAAAGCAUUUGCCAAGGAUGUUUUCAUUAAUCAAGAACGAAAGUUAGGGGAUCGAAGACG